ensembl:lncRNA
CAUAGCAGUUUUCAGUAUAUAAAAGCAUAUUUACAGGUUGUUAGAUAUCACUCGUUUUAAAUUCAGUGCACAAUCAAAUACAUUGUGUGCACUGAAAACAGGAACACUAUACAUAACUGCAAGUGGGUUGAUUAAAGAGUUUUCAUUUAAAAAUCAGUAUGGGACACUACAUUUGAAAAAUGAAAAAGUAGUAAUCAUUUAAGUAGUAAGGCACAUUGCUGUUAUUGUUCUUCUAGUGCAAACUAAAGCAAUGAAUCUAUUUGUAACCACAGAAUUGAAUUAUAUAAAUUAUUCUUGCAGUAAGACUUGCAUAGAUGGCCUGCAUUAGAAUAGUGUCAGAAGACCUUAUGGGAUUUGCAACAAUAAUAUUAAUUUUUGUUUCACUUUGGAUGAAAUUAAGGCGUAACUUUACACAUAUGUGAUUCAUACAUUUGUGAAACUGAGCUCGCAUCUCUGUUAUAAACUGUCACACCAUAAAGUCACUUGUAUGUACCCUGGAAAGCCUGGAUGCGCAUGCUCAGACAUGGCAGCUGCCUGUGAGAAGCCCCUCAGAGCCUACAGUUAUGAACAUUUAGCCAAAUAAAAGUCGAGUUAACUGAUUUGACUGCUGCGGAGUUUCGCUGCCAGAGGCACGAUGGAGUAAACAGUUGGCAGCGGGGACAUUUGGGAGCUGGUCUGGAUGGAAGCGACGGGUUUACGAGACGUUUUCAAAUGUAUAACGCUAUCCAUUGCAGCAAUGGAGGAUAUUGGUCUCCUUCCCAAACCCACCCACGAAACCCCAGUCCACAGACCCACAGUCCCUGACACUUUUGGGCAGCAUCACAUCCCCCCAGACCACCUGCAUGUCGGUGAUGCAAGCAGGAACUCUGACGUGGACAAAGAUGGAGUGGUUAAAAAAUGGUCCCACUCAAUGACAAUAGGUGAGCAGCAGAUGAUCUCCCAAUUUCCUGUACAUCACCAAGCACCUGUGGGUGCUGACACUCCACAUCUUAAUUUGGAUAAAGUAGGCGCUGUCAGAAAAAUAACCAAAGCCAAAGUUGCAGAUCCAUUAAAGUGGAAGCAAAACAAGCAGAAACAGCUGAGGAUGGAGGGAAAAUUAUAUGUAAGCAAACGCAAGAAAGAUGGUGAGAUUGUAACCAAACACCCAAGAGCCAUAGGACCAAGAUGCACUUCGGAUGCAUGCAAAAAAACGACAAAUCGGCUAUGUGGUGAAAUUACUGAAGAAACAAGGAAGAAGGUGUUCAAUGAAUUUUGGCAGCACAUGAACUGGGCUCAGAGAAAGCUCUAUGUAGCAGGACAAGUCGACCGUGACCCUGUGGAAAGAUCUCGGGCUGCGGGGUUGCCUUCAAGGAGAUCGGUGUCACUUCGUUAUCAUUUGAUGGUGGAUGGCAAACGGACACAAGUAUGUAAGAACAUGUUCCUGUCCACGCUUGGGAUUGGAGAGUGGUCUGUGCUCAACUGGGCACAUAGAACAGCAACAGAAAAGACUGAAUCAAACAAAAGCAAGUCAGAAAAAAAGCCAGUUGUGACUGGCCCUCCUGUAGACAGCAACACUGCAUUAGUUACUCAAGAACACAUGAAUGCAACUGACAAAGACAAAAACAGGCCACCAGAAACAGAGGGGGCAAUCCGAAAGAAAUCCAGAGUUGCUAAACCACUAACAUGGAAACAAAAUCGUCAGAAGCAACUCAGGAUGGAGGGAAAACCAUACACCAGCAAGAGAAAGAAAGAUGGCGCCACUAUUACUAAAGCUCAGAGGUCAAUGGGGCCAAGAUGCACAUCCAGUGCCUGCAAAAGGGCAUCGAACCGUUUUUGUGCUGACUUUAGUGAGGAAAAGCGGAAUGAGCUGUUCACUGGUUUCUGGCAGUGUAUGAACUGGACUCAGAGGAAGGUCUAUGUGGCUGGGCUUGUGGACUGUGAUCCGGUGGAAAGAACCCGUGCACCGUGGACUCAGUCUAGAAGAUCAGUCUCAAUGCGAUAUCAUUUGAUAGCAGAUGGCGAUAAAAAACAAGUUUGCAAAAAAAUGUUCCUCUCCACUUUGGGGAUUGGAGAGUGGUCAGUGCUUAACUGGGCCCAGAAUGCCUCCCAGCUAGACAAUUUGGAGGAGAACAGUAAAAAGCGAAUGCAGAGGAAAUCCCGUAAAGCUUCAGAGCAUAUAGUCCUGAAGGAGUUUCUAGAAAGUUUACCAAAAGUGUCAUCUUACUGUGGUGGAACGUCCAUCUCUAAGCUCUGUCUGGAGCCAGUCUUCUCAAACAUGUCCGAGGUCUACAGGUACUACUAUAGCCACUGCAUAGAGCAGAAGACAGCGCCGCUUUCACGCCAGGUUUUCUGUGCUGUGUUUAAAAAAAUGAAUUUAAGAUUGUGUGACUCCAAAAAGGACCAAUCUUGUUCUUUUGGUGGAACUGGAAACUUGUUUAAUGAGCUUUGGGAGGAAUGCUGCUUUGAAAGAGGAGCUCCAGGGCAACAACCUGAGAGAGUCGGUGACCCGUAGACCAAUGUUGGUGCUUGUUACCAUGUUAAUACCAACUUUGUAUUAUACACCGUUUGUUUGAGACUUGAUGGCGGAUCCUUCUUUUAUAUUUGCACUUCUUGAAGCAGUGUAGUUGUCUUGCUGUAGCUGAAACAAUUUAAGCACUACGUUCAUUUUGAGGCCUCCGAUUGUUUCAUGUUAUUCGGAGCAUCAUUUGGCAAACCAAACCAAAACUGCUAUUCUAUCGUUUCGAUAUGUAUGAUGUAAAAGGUCAAAGUCAACUCAAGUGUCAAAGUUGAUAUUUUCCUUUGUGAAUUAAAUGUGAACAGCUACCAGAAGCACUUUACAGAAUUCUUUCAAAGGCAGAGCAGUCACAGUCAAGUUGUUAGGACUCCGCAGAUGUGUGUGUAUGUGUGAAAUCAUCAAAUUCAAACCAAGCUGUCUCGUCACGCCCUGCAGCUUUUUGCACAAUAUGAAGUAACGGCUCUCCCAGCAGCUCCCUGAGUCACA